AGUGUCACUCCACUCCACCAUCCUCUGACGCCAUCAUCUUCCCACCGAUGAUCAUUCAAGAAGAAAGUACAGCAAAGCCCGAUCAGUAUCUAAAUCCUUGUUGUUGAAGCCCUAAGUCAGCGAAUCUCUAUUCUGGAUCAAGUUCCUUCAAGUUGUUCUCAAUCGACAAUCGACGAUCUUCUGGAGGUGCGAAUUGCAAAUCUCUCUCUCUCUCGCACGUGCGCGCGCCCAGUCGUCAGUCUCUCUCUCGCAGCGGCAACAACACCAGCGCCACGUCACGCAGCGGCAACAACACCAGCGCUAACACCUCUCGCUCUCACUGUUAAUACAUCAAAAGCCACAUAGGGAGAGAGAGAGAGAGCAAGCGAGCGAGAGUGACUAACGGCGGCCAGAAGUUCCAUCUCUGCCCAGCGCCACCUCUGCACAAGAGGGCAUCAAAUUGGUAUUGGGACAUCGAUCAGCACCCGCGCCACCUCCGUCUCUUUCUCUUGCCCAUCCAUGGCCUCAUUGCCACCGCUGCCUCACCCAUGUUCUCCCCAUAGGGACAUCUCUAUUCGAGGAGCCGUGCCCAUGGCUAAUUUGCAUCUGAUUAUAACUUGUUUUUGAGUUCUUCCCAAGUGAGCAUGAACACUGGCAUAUCGGAAUCCAUUUUCAAUGGCUCCAAAGCCUCACUUCUUCAAUCCCUUCAACCCAUCAGCACCUUGUUAAGUUGUUUGCUAGUAUUUUAGGCAAAACAGAGACCCCCUUAGAACCCCCUAUCUUUUUUUAUUGGUAAAGGGAAAAAUAUUUAGAUAUAUAUAUAUAUAUAUAUGUAAUGAAAAGAAGUUAAGUGUUAAUUAAAUUUUAUAGAAGAAAUAGAAAUGAC